rnacentral:misc_RNA from 1 species
AACGCACAUUGCGCCCCUUGGUAUUCCGAGGGGCAUGCCUGUUCGAGCGUCAUUAUGACCACUCAAGCCUAGCUUGGUAUUGGGGUUCGCGGUCUCGCGGCCUCUAAAAUCAGUAGCGGUGCCGUCUGGCUCUAAGCGUAGUAAUUUUCUCGCUAUGGGGUCCGGACAGUUACUUGCCUAAACCUCAACUUCUCACGGUUGACCUCGGAUCAGGUAGGGAUACCCGCUGAACUUAA